UCAGACAAUGGAUUUAAGACAUGGUUUGGCAAUGAACAAAAUGCAAUUGGAAGUAACCGUUCCAUUAAAACAUGUGAAUCGUGACUUUUCAUUCCCCGCAAUCUUCCUGUGUUGACGUCGGCACACCUUGCCAAGUUCGAAGAAUAUCCGUCCGGCAUUCUCAAUUCUUUUAACCAUCGACAACAGACUUCGCUUCAUCAGAAGUUAGACUAAAAACAGCCUUGGGUUUUAGAUAUUUGCCAUUUGGAAGUCGUUGUAUCUUCAUUUCUGGUCUCUUGCAAUACAAUGGCAAAUCCCACCUAGCCUUCUCGUUAUCUUUUGUUUUACCGGACACAUCCAUCACCGUGUGUAGUAUAUUGUCACAAAAAUUCUUUUCAAUAUGCAUGACAUCAAGAUUAUGUCUCAGUAAAUUGUCUUUCCAGUAAGGGAGGUCCCAAAAAAUACUUCUUUUAGUC
rnacentral:lncRNA from 1 species